ACAAGCUUUUUUCUUUCCCGGCCGUGAGCCCUCGGAGGAGGCCUUCCGGCCGCAGCCAUGGCGCCUAGCCAGAAUGGCAUGAUCCUGAAGCCCCACUUCCACAAGGACUGGCAGCGGCGCGUGGCCACGUGGUUUAACCAGCCGGCUCGCAAGAUCCGUAGACGCAAGGCCUGGCAGGCCAAGGCGUGCCGCAUUGCCCCGCGCCCCGCGUCCAGUCCUCUCCGGCCGGUGGUGAGAUGCCCGACAGUCAGGUACCACACGAAGGUUCGUGCCGGCAGGGGCUUCAGCCUGGAGGAGCUUAGGGUGCCCGGCAUCCACAAGAAGGUGGCCCGGACCAUUGGGAUCUCGGUGGACCCGAGGCAGCGGAACAAGUGCACGGAGUCCCUGCAAGCCAACGUGCAGCGGCUCAAGGAGUACCGCUCCAAACUUAUCCUGUUCCCCAGGAAGCCCUCGGCCCCCAAGAAGGGAGACAGCUCUGCUGAAGAGCUCAAACUGGCCACUCAGCUGACUGGACCUGUUAUGCCCAUACGGAACGUCUAUAAGAAGGAGAAAGCCAGAGUCAUCACAGAGGAGGAGAAGAACUUUAAGGCAUUUGCCAGUCUCCGCAUGGCCCGUGCCAACGCCCGGCUCUUCGGCAUCCCGGGCAAAAAGGGCCAAGGAAGCUGCAGAACAGGAUGUUGAAAAGAAAAAAAAAAGUGCAAUUGGCAACUUACGAUAAA